GCCGGCGUCGGCUAAUCAGGCAUGCCGGCAGCCCGAGAAGCUGUUAACUGAAAGGUCUUCCGGGUUCAAAUCCCGGCGCCGGCG
rnacentral:tRNA from 1 species